UACGUAGGGCGCAAGCGUUGUCCGGAAUUAUUGGGCGUAAAGAGCUCGUAGGCGGUUUGUCGCGUCGGAUGUGAAAGCCCGGGGCUUAACCCCGGGUCUGCAUUCGAUACGGGCAGACUGGAGUGUGGUAGGGGAGAUCGGAAUUCCUGGUGUAGCGGUGAAAUGCGCAGAUAUCAGGAGGAACACCGAUGGCGAAGGCAGGUCUCUGGGCCACUACUGACGCUGAGAAGCGAAAGCGUGGGGAGCGAACAGG
rnacentral:rRNA from 1 species